GGCCGCUAACAUGGCGGGGCGGCGGAGGGGACGGCGGCGGCCGCGCGGCGCGGGAGAGAGCGGGAGAAACUUUUUAGCAAGUGUCCCCCCGAGGGCCCGCGCGCGUCCCCAGGGCCCGGCCGGCGCGGGAACUCGGCCAGCAGCCCGGGCCACCGUCCGCGCCGCCCGCAAGCCCGACCCGCCUCGCCUCGCCUUCCAGCCCCGCUCUCCCGGCCGGGGAACCGGCUGGAGCCACCCGCCAGCCCGAGGGGCUCUUCCUACCUCGGAAUCGGAGGAGCUGUUUUGAUUCGUCUCUGAUUCAUUGACCAACGACGACUUGACAUCGGCUAAAUCCCUCUCCGCCGAGGAGUUUUCCGAGUUCUUCUCCUCCUGCUCGCCUUCGUCUUUGAAGGAGAUCAGUUCGUCGUUAGCGCCUAGGUCAUCUCCUCCACCGCCGUUCAACUGCGGCAUUUUUUUUUUCACCCACCAGCAGCAAUUUUGGAAGAAAAAUGAAGGAGGA